rnacentral:rRNA from 1 species
ACAACGACUCUCGGCAACGGAUAUCUCGGCUCUCGCAUCGAUGAAGAACGUAGCGAAAUGCGAUACUUGGUGUGAAUUGCAGAAUCCCGUGAACCAUCGAGUCCUUGAUCGCAAGUUGCGCCCGAAGCCAUCCGGCCGAGGGCACGUCUGCCUGGGCGUCACGC